rnacentral:rRNA from 1 species
AGAGUUUGAUCCUGGCUCAGGAUGAACGCUGGCGGCGUGCUUAACACAUGCAAGUCGAACGAACCUUCGGGUUAGUGGCGGACGGGUGAGUAACGCGUGAGAAUCUGCCCUCAGGAGGGGGAUAACGGCUGGAAACGGCCGCUAAUACCCCAUAUGCCGAGAGGUGAAAUGAAUUUCGCCUGAGGAUGAGCUCGCGUCUGAUUAGCUAGUUGGUGGGGUAAGGGCCUACCAAGGCAUCGAUCAGUAGCUGGUCUGAGAGGAUGAUCAGCCACACUGGGACUGAGACACGGCCCAGACUCCUACGGGAGGCAGCAGUGGGGAAUUUUCCGCAAUGGGCGAAAGCCUGACGGAGCAACGCCGCGUGAGGGAUGAAGGCCUCUGGGCUGUAAACCUCUUUUAUCAAGGAAGAAGAUCUGACGGUACUUGAUGAAUAAGCCACGGCUAAUUCCGUGCCAGCAGCCGCGGUAAUACGGGAGUGGCAAGCGUUAUCCGGAAUUAUUGGGCGUAAAGCGUCCGCAGGCGGCCUGACAAGUCUGUUGUCAAAGCGUGGAGCUUAACUCCAUUUCGGCAAUGGAAACUGUGAGGCUUGAGUGUGGUAGGGGCAGAGGGAAUUCCCGGUGUAGCGGUGAAAUGCGUAGAUAUCGGGAAGAACACCAGUGGCGAAGGCGCUCUGCUGGGCCAUAACUGACGCUCAUGGACGAAAGCCAGGGGAGCGAAAGGGAUUAGAUACCCCUGUAGUCCUGGCCGUAAACGAUGAACACUAGGUGUCGGGGGAAUCGACCCCCUCGGUGUCGUAGCCAACGCGUUAAGUGUUCCGCCUGGGGAGUACGCACGCAAGUGUGAAACUCAAAGGAAUUGACGGGGGCCCGCACAAGCGGUGGAGUAUGUGGUUUAAUUCGAUGCAACGCGAAGAACCUUACCAGGGUUUGACAUCCUGCGAAUCCCUUGGAAACUAGGGAGUGCCUUCGGGAGCGCAGAGACAGGUGGUGCAUGGCUGUCGUCAGCUCGUGUCGUGAGAUGUUGGGUUAAGUCCCGCAACGAGCGCAACCCACGUCUUUAGUUGCCAGCAUUGAGUUGGGCACUCUAGAGAGACCGCCGGUGAUAAACCGGAGGAAGGUGUGGAUGACGUCAAGUCAUCAUGCCCCUUACAUCCUGGGCUACACACGUACUACAAUGCUACGGACAAAGGGCAGCAAACUCGCGAGAGCUAGCAAAUCCCAUAAACCGUGGCUCAGUUCAGAUCGCAGGCUGCAACUCGCCUACGUGAAGGAGGAAUCGCUAGUAAUCGCAGGUCAGCAUACUGCGGUGAAUACGUUCCCGGGCCUUGUACACACCGCCCGUCACACCAUGGAAGUUGGCCACGCCCGAAGCCGUUACUCCAACCCUUGUGGAGGAGGACGUCGAAGGUGGGGCUGAUGACUGGGGUGAAGUCGGAACAAGGUA